rnacentral:pre_miRNA from 14 species
GGUCCAGAGAGAGUGUGAGUGUGUGUGUGUGUGUGUGUGUGUGUGUGUACGCGCGCGAGCGCAGCCCGGGACACUCCCCACCCCCAACACA